rnacentral:rRNA from 1 species
AAUCAUUAGCCUCUUAAUUAGAGGCUAGAAUGAAUGGUUUAACAUUUCCUUAACUUUUUUAAAAAUCUAUAUAAAACUUAUAUUAAAUAUAAAAAUAUAUUUAUUUACAAAUUAGACGACAAGACCCUUUCAAACUUUACUAAAGUUUAGCUGGGGUAGCUAAAUAAUUAUAAUCUUAUUAAUAAGAAUAAAACAGACCCAAUUAAAAUUGAUUAAAUGAACAAGUUACUGAAGGGAUAACAGCAUAAUAAAUUUAUACAGCUCUUAUUAAAAAACAAGUUUAUGACCUCGAUGUUGAAUUAUUUCACUUUUAUACGCAAGAGUAUAAAAAGUAGGUCUGUUCGACCUUUAAAUUUU